rfam:Ornithorhynchus anatinus chromosome 4, whole genome shotgun sequence.
AGCAGCGAGGCUCAGUGGAAAAGAGCCCGGGCUUGGGAGUCGGAGGUCAUGGGUUCGAAUCCCGGCUCUGCCA